rnacentral:rRNA from 1 species
GACGAACGCUGGCGGCGUGCCUAAUACAUGCAAGUUGAGCGCUGAAGGAUUGUACUUGUACCAACUGGAUGAGCAGCGGACGGGUGAGUAACGCGUGGGGAAUCUUCCUUUUAUCGGGGGACAACAUUGGGAAACGAAUGCUAAUACCGCAUAAAAACUUUAAACACAGAUAUUAAGUUUUAAAGGUGCAAUGCCAUCACUCAAAGAUGAUCCCGCGUUGUAUUAGCUAGUGGGGGAGGGAAAGGCCCACCAAGGCGAUCAUACAUAGCCGGCCUGAGAGGGUGGUUCGCCACAAUGGGAAUGAGACACGGCCCCAGAUUCUAAGGGAGGCAGCCGUAGGGGAUUUUCGGCCAUGGACGAAAGGCUGGACCAGCAACGCCGCGUGAGUGAAGAAGGUUCUCGGAUCGUAAAACUCUGUUGGUAGAGAAGAAAGUUGGUGAGAGUGGAAAGCUCCUCAAGUGACGGUACCCACACAGAAAGCGACGGCUAACUACGUG